CAGCCGUAAACUAUGCGCGUUAGGUGUACUGGUGACCACGAGUCACCGGGUGCCGAAGGGAAACCGUGAAACGUGCCGCCUGGGAAGUACGGUCGCAAGGCUGAAACUUAAAGGAAUUGGCGGGGGAGCACCACAACGGGUGGAGACCUGCGGUUUAAUUGGACUCAACGCCGGAAAUCUCACCGGAUAGGACAGACAUAUGAUAGUCGGGCUGAAGACUCUACUUGAUGAUCUGAGAGGUGGUGCAUGGCGUCAGUGACU
rnacentral:rRNA from 1 species